rnacentral:rRNA from 1 species
UACGUAGGGGGCAAGCGUUGUCCGGAAUCAUUGGGCGUAAAGAGCGUGUAGGCGGUCCGGUAAGUCGGCUGUGAAAGUCCAAGGCUCAACCUUGGGAUGCCGGUCGAUACUGCCGGACUAGAGUUCGGAAGAGGCGAGUGGAAUUCCCGGUGUAGCGGUGAAAUGCGCAGAUAUCGGGAGGAACACCCAUGGCGAAGGCAGCUCGCUGGGACGUUACUGACGCUGAGACGCGAAAGCGUGGGGAGCAAACAGG